CUAGCGUUUUGCGAGCGAAGGUUAGGGGACGCAGGGAUGAGAAUUUUCCUCGGAUCCACGGAUUUCCGUGUUUUUUUUCCGUCGAAAGUAUCAUUUUCCUGAAUCGUGCAAAUCCGUUGAGAAUUUUUUUAAAUUUAUAUUCAUUCACGUAUGGCCGGGCAACGUUAGCCUCGGCGACUCGCGAGCAUUCGCCCGCCCGCCGCGACUGCAUCUUUUGGCACAUCUCAAAUUAAAAUUAGUUAAGCUGUGAGUACGGAAAUCAGCUUGCCUCUGUAAACCUAACUCACUGGCAGCAGUGAUGCGACAACAUCCGCCUUAUUUUCGGCAGCAUUUUGGCGCUACUUCCGUCACAUAAUUUCCACUUGUUAACUUAACCUACGCGGAGAACUAGUGUUUUUACACCGCCACAAUGUGAAUUUGCGAUUGGGUUUUCAUCACUUGUAGACGAGUUAUUUACAAAUAUGGGGCCUGCUCAGCG